rnacentral:rRNA from 1 species
GAUGAACGCUGGCGGCGUGCCUAAUACAUGCAAGUCGAGCGAACAGACGAGGAGCUUGCUCCUCUGACGUUAGUGGCGGACGGGUGAGUAACACGUGGAUAACCUACCUAUAAGACUGGGAUAACUUCGGGAAACCGGAGCUAAUACCGGAUAAUAUAUUGAACCGCAUGGUUCAAUAGUGAAAGACGGUUUUGCUGUCACUUAUAGAUGGAUCCGCGCCGCAUUAGCUAGUUGGUAAGGUAACGGCUUACCAAGGCAACGAUGCGUAGCCGACCUGAGAGGGUGAUCGGCCACACUGGAACUGAGACACGGUCCAGACUCCUACGGGAGGCAGCAGUAGGGAAUCUUCCGCAAUGGGCGAAAGCCUGACGGAGCAACGCCGCGUGAGUGAUGAAGGUCUUCGGAUCGUAAAACUCUGUUAUUAGGAAAGAACAAAUGUGUAAGUAACUAUGCACGUCUUGACGGUACCUAAUCAGAAAGCCACGGCUAACUACGUG